AGAGUUUGAUCAUGGCUCAGGACGAACGCUGGCGGCGUGCUUAACACAUGCAAGUCGAACGAGGCGUCUUCGGAUGUCUAGUGGCGAACGGGUGAGUAACACGUGAGCAACCUGCCCCUGGCUCUGGGAUAGCCUCCGGAAACGGGGGCUAAUACCGGAUAGGACCUGGCCCUGCAUGGGGUUGGGUGGAAAGUUUUUCGGCCAGGGGUGGGCUCGCGGCCUAUCAGCUUGUUGGUGGGGUGAUGGCCUACCAAGGCGACGACGGGUAGCCGGCCUGAGAGGGCGACCGGCCACACUGGGACUGAGACACGGCCCAGACUCCUACGGGAGGCAGCAGUGGGGAAUAUUGCACAAUGGGCGGAAGCCUGAUGCAGCGACGCCGCGUGAGGGAUGACGGCCUUCGGGUUGUAAACCUCUUUCAGCAGGGACGAAGCGCAAGUGACGGUACCUGCAGAAGAAGCGCCGGCCAACUACGUGCCAGCAGCCGCGGUAAUAC
rnacentral:rRNA from 1 species